rnacentral:rRNA from 1 species
UACGUAGGGGGCAAGCGUUGUCCGGAAUCAUUGGGCGUAAAGGGCGCGUAGGCGGCCCGUUAAGUCCGCUGUGAAAGACCGAGGCUCAACCUCGGGGUGUCAGCGGAGACUGUCGGGCUGGAGUCUCGGAGAGGGAUGCGGAAUUCCUGGUGUAGCGGUGGAAUGCGUAGAGAUCAGGAGGAACACCGAUGGCGAAGGCAGCAUCCUGGCCGAGUACUGACGCUGAGGCGCGAAAGCGUGGGGAGCGAACGGG